rnacentral:rRNA from 1 species
CGACGUGAGCAAUCUGCCUUUAAGAGGGGGAUAACAGUCGGAAACGGCUGCUAAUACCGCAUAAAGCAUUAAAUUCGCAUGAUUUUGAUGCCAAAGGAGCAAUCCGCUUUUAGAUGAGCUCGCGUCUGAUUAGCUAGUUGGCGGGGUAACGGCCCACCAAGGCGACGAUCAGUAGCCGGACUGAGAGGUUGAACGGCCACAUUGGGACUGAGACACGGCCCAG